rnacentral:rRNA from 1 species
AAUAAACGCUGGCGGCGUGCUUAACACAUGCAAGUCGAACGUGAAAGUCCUUCGGGAUGAGUAAAGUGGCGGACGGGUGAGUAACGCGUGAGAAUCUACCUUUUAGUGAAGGAUACCGUUGAGAAAUUAACGUUAAUACUGCAUAAGCCCCACGGGGGAAAGAUGGCCUCUUUGCUGUCGCUAAAAGAUGAGCUUGCGUACUAUUAGCUAGUUGGUGGGGUAAAGGCUCACCAAGGCGAUGAUGGUUAACCGGCCUGAGAGGGUGUACGGUCACAUUGGAACUGAGAAACGGUCCAGACUCCUACGGGAGGCAGCAGUGAGGAAUAUUGCGCAAUGGACGAAAGUCUGACGCAGCGACGCCGCGUGGAGGAUGAAGGUCUUCGGAUUGUAAACUUCUGUUAGACGGGAAAAAAGAGCUCUUGAAAAUAUCAAGAGAAGAUGAUGGUACCGUUAAAGAAAGCACCGGCUAAACUCGUGCCAGCAGCCGCGGUAAUACGAGUGGUGCUAGCGUUAUUCGGAUUUACUGGGCGUAAAGGGUAUGUAGGCGGUUUUUUAAGUCAGUUAUUAAAUCCCUUGGCUUAACCAAGGAAGCGUAAUUGAAACUGGAAGACUAGAGGAUGGAAGAGAGAAGUGGAAUUCUCGGAGUAGCGGUAAAAUGCGUAGAUCUCGAGAGGAACACCGAUGGCGAAGGCAGCUUCUUGGUCCAUAUCUGACGCUGAAAUACGGAAGCGUGGGGAGCAAACAGGAUUAGAUACCCUGGUAGUCCACGCUGUAAACGAUGAUCACUAGAUGUUGUGUCUGCUUGCAGAUGCAGUAUCGUAGCUAACGCGUUAAGUGAUCCGCCUGGGAAGUACGGUCGCAAGACUAAAACUUAAAGGAAUUGACGGGGGUCCGCACAAGCGGUGGAACAUGUGGUUUAAUUCGAUACUACGCGAGGAACCUUACCUAGGCUUGACAUGCUUUUGACUGGUGUGGAAACACAUCGUUCCUAGUUUACUAGGACAAUUGCACAGGUGCUGCAUGGCUGUCGUCAGCUCGUGUCGUGAGAUGUUUGGUUAAGUCCUCUAACGAGCGCAACUCCUGCUGCUAGUUGCUAUUCUUCGGAAGCACUCUAGUGGGACUGCCUGGGAAACCAGGAGGAAGGUGGGAAUGACGUCAAGUCAUCAUGGUCCUUAUGUCUAGGGCUACACACGUGUUACAAUGGCUGGUACAAAGGGGCGCGAACUCGCAAGAGUAAGCAAAUCCCAUCAAAACCAGUCUAAGUUCGGAUUGGGGUCUGCAACUCGACCCCAUGAAGUUGAAAUCGCUAGUAAUCGCGCAUCAGAUCGGCGCGGUGAAUUCGUUCUCGGACCUUGUACACACCGCCCGUCAAACCACGAGAGUUUUUUGUACCCGAAAAUAUCUUAGCUAACCUUACGGAGGCGGAUAUCUACGGUAUGGGAGAUGAUUGGGGUU